AUGCGGCUGGCAGUACGCGGAUGAAAUGAGUCUGGCUGUGGGGUGUUUCUUAAAGGUUGCAGGGAACCAGAACUUAUGCUGACCAAAGCAGAAAACAAACCUGAAUGAGGUGCCAGUCCAUUGUAUGGAACACUGUCAUGCUGAAACAAGCUACACUGGAGGCAUUCUGUGGUGGACAACAAUCCAAGCAGGUAGUGACUGCAACUGAACACACAGGGAAGAGGAAAACAGCACAGAAAGAAUCUCUUUUGGGCAUUACCUUUAACCAGUUGGGACAAGCCACGCUGCAUCAUCUGGACUGAAACAUAUUAGCUCGUAAGCAGAGUCACUUUUAUUUUUUGUUUGUUUUUUUUUUCUUUUCUCUUGUCUUUUAUGGUGAGAAUCAACUCCUUGCCCAGAACGGGGAAUAAUAAAAUUCAAAUCAUUAUCAAACAUCAUGAUUUUAUUAUACAAAACAU